ACCAAAAGUAAAAAUGCUAGGGGCUUCAAUACUUGCUGUAAUGGAUGAAGAAAUAAAUCAGCGGUCUACUGAAAAAAUUCGUCGCCGGACAUUGAGGAACGCAUCAGAUCCUUUAUCUCACUCAAAUGCAGAAUUUAUAACUUAUUAUCGGCUAAAUAAAGAAGCUUUUGUUUUAGUUUUGGAAAAAAUUUCUCCCCACCUCAAACGUUCCAAUAUACCGGCUAUUAUCCAGCUUGCAACAACGCUUAGGUUUUUGGCUACGGGUGCAUUUCAAGGAGUUAUAGGUAGAGAUGUGGAGCUAAGCCUUGGGAGAAGUACAGUUUCUACAAUUAUGUGGAGAGUUAUUAAUGCAUUUGAAGCUGAAAUUUGUCCACAUUGGAUCAAAUUAAGAAUGUCUUCCGAAGAAAAAAGAAAGUCGAAAUUGUACUUUUUUGAAAAUUAUGAAAUUCCAGGAAUUGUAGGAUGCUUUGACGGAACUCACGUUAGAAUGGUUAAACCUUCCGAAGACGAAUCCCUUUUUUACAUUUCUACACCUUCUUCUUCAACACAUAUGGCAAUAAUUCAACAAUACAAGUCUGCCGUUCAUUUCUGCAUAUUUUUUGCGUUUUCAUCAUGGAUUAGAAAAAUAAUAGAUUUUUUAUAAAAUAAAUUCCAAAAACAUGUUCAUUCUAAGAGAAUUUGGUUAAUACAAUAUUUUCUGUUAAAUGUAUGUGUCUUCUGUUUAUUUUUUACGUUAAAAUCACUAAACAUUUCAAUUUCACCCUGCUUUUUGAAAGUGAUAUCAAAACGCAAAAUUUUUGCGUUUUCCGUUUUUUAGAGAAGCUAAAACCGUUUUCGUUUUCACUCUUGAACGAUUUUACAUUCUGUGACAUGCCUGAUAAAAGCUUUCAGAUAACGGAACUCAUACGUAGGCUGUCUUUAGGACAAUGACCUGUCUUCUACAUUCAAAAACACAUGUCUCUUCGAUUUUUUUAAAGUCCCCUAAAUCAGCGGACUAUUUUCUAGAUGACAUUUUUGUUUGUAUUUCUACAGAAAUUUUUCAAAGCUUCCUUGGGAUCUACUGUACCCUUUUCUAUGGUCUUCUAUAUAUUUAGAUCUUUUUCAACUUUUUCUUGAAUUGAAUGAAUCUUGAAUCUUCUAUAAAUUCAAGAUCUCUUAAGUCAGAACCCCAAAAGGAAAAAGAUUAUUAAGGGCUUUUCUAUAAUGUUUUUUGAGGAUCUUUGUAAAUGAAUAUUUUGAGAUUUCAUGCAUUUUUUGAAUAUUCGUGUGUUAUAAAUCAUUUCACGUUAGGAUUUCCAAAAGAGCUUCGUUUCUUCUGAAUCAACCUCUUUAAAGAAUGGCUUUGGAACUUUAAGGGCCUGUUAACGUAUGCCGACAAUUAAUGUAAAAGAAAAACUAGAAUUCUAGGAGUGUUUUCACAAAAAAAAGAAAAAAAAAACAUACAUAGAAUUGGGGUUGUUCUCUCGCAUUCAUUUUCUUUCGACAAGGCUUAAACAAGGUUGGACAAGAAAACUGCUUUUGACAACAAUUUGUCACAGAAACCCAUUAUUUUUUCACUAUUGUGAUUUGUCUAUUUUCGCAUCUCAAAUCUUAGUCGUCAGAUAGGGUUAUUGGCUGAUAGGCUAUGCUUUCGUCAAAUUUUGCUGUAUCCUUUGCUUACAAUUUUAUUUGUAAUAUCUAAUAACAAAUAUUUUUUUGUAAAAAGCUUUACCACACUUGAGUGGUAUAAAUUGAUAUUUUGUCAAACUUACAGUGGUCACAUCAAAUUUAAUGUAAUUCUUAAAAUAUUUAUUCAAUCUAUAAUUUAUUUAAUUUUUUUCAUAAAAUCUAUGAAUUUUAACUCCAUGUUUAUUUUUAUGUAUUAUUUGAUCAUUAUUUUUAAUUUCAUUUUAUUUUUAAUUACAUCUUUGUGAAUUUGAAAUUUGUAUUUAUUUAUGUUUUAAGCGCAUAUUAUUUUACUGUGUAAUCAACUCUCUCUCUCAUGCGUGCAUUAAUUUUUAAGUUAGUUUCUUAGAGUAUAGGCUAGGAAUUUGUAAUUUGAUUUUUUUUCAUGUCUUUGUUUUAUAAACGGUACUAUUAUUCUAUACAAUCAGAAAAAAAUAUUCAUUGUCAUCAUUUUAGAUAUAGGUAUAUAAAAUGCAAGAAAAUAAAUUUGUUUUGUCAUACACACAACCAUCAUUGUAUAUUUUUUGUGUUUAUUUAUAUCUGAGUUACGAAUCGAAGAAAAAGAGAUUUUAAUUUUAAUAUUUACCUAUAUUUACAACGAAAUAUGAGUUACUAUUCCUUAAUAUUUGAAGAUGAAAUUAAAUUUUUUAUUGCAAAUGUUUAUAUGGGAACUGCUAAUAGUCUUUAAAGCAUUUCUUAAGGUGAGAAUACAUAAAACGUUUUUUUUUUUUUGGAUGGCUCAAGUCAUCGGGUAGCCUCUUCGUAGAGAAAAAAAAGAGUUUUAGGUGAACUUUUUCUUUUCCGAAGAAGCCAGCCUAUUGCUUAAGCCAGCCAAAAAAGCCUUUAUGUAAUCUCACUUUUACCUAAAAACUUGAAUAGACUUUUCGAAUUGAUUAUAUAUUUUCCGAUAGCAAAAAAGGGUUCUAGUAAAAACGUUAAAACUAAAGUAGAACCAUCAUUAUUAUUUUUGCGAAGAAGUAAACCUUUCCUAACCUAAUUUUUAAUUGUUAACUUAUUUUUGUCCCCCUAUAAAAGUGAUGUAUAUAUAUAACAAAUAUGGACAAGUCGCUUGAAAAGGAGGAUAUUAUAAUCAACUGUUAUUCAAGACCAUAGAAUUGGGUUUCCACUAAGUGGAGUAGAUCUAAAAUAUGUUAAAACACUAAAGAAAUUAUAAAUUAAAAAAAACUAUUUGAGAAUUGCAUAUAACUAAGAAAUUUUGCUUAACGAAAAAUGAUUUGUUUCAAUACAAAAGAAAUCAGAUUACUGGACUUUUCGGAAGGAACAUUCUAAGUUGCAAUAAAAUUUUGUGUAUCUUACUCACGUCUAUCCCGAUCUUAAAGAUAAAAUUAAGCGAGGAUUGCUAAUAGUUUUAAAAGGUGGUCUUAUUUUUAGCACACCACAGAGACGGGCAAAAUUCUCGCGUUCCAUAUCGAAACAAAUGAUGAAAUUAAUCCGAAUAUGUAGUUUUCAAAUUAAUUUAAUUUAAAAUUUCGGUAGAGACCAUUAAAAGUCAAGCGUAAGAAUGUGGAGACUUUGUUUGUAUCGAAAGCAAUAAUUUGGCACAUCGCUUUAUUUUUGCAAGAUCUAUGAUGGUAUAUUUGGCCACACAUCAAGUCACAAUUUUCGCCCGGUACUGGGAUUCUCUAACUUAUUUUUUGAGUUUGCGACAAAAAUCGAUAACUUUGAAAAUCAGAUUUUUGAUAUACAAAAAUAAGUUAAAGUUGACAACAUUGGUAUCAAUGGCGACAACUUUGAUUUCAUCACUAACUUACAGACAAAUUUCAUUAAUUACCGCAGUUAUACGCAUUUUAAUGUUACCGACAUAAAUCGGUAACUCAAAAAAAUGAGUUAGAGAAUAUAACCCACUCUAGGUUAAAAUUGAAAUCAGUAGUUUUCAAUUUUAACCUAGAGUGGUUAUAUUUCUGAUUCUCGCAAAGAAAAAAAAUGAAAAAAUUUAGUCGGCCCCAUUACCGUUGCCGUCGUCGCAAAAUGAAGUCGAGGCGAUAAUAACGGUAUUAAGGUUGUCGUUUUUUGUCGAUAGCGAUUAAUGAUUGCUAUUGUCAUCGUCGAUACAACAGCCGACACGAAGUCGUUUUUAGAGAAUAUCUGUCGCCGGUGCUAUUUUAACCAUUUUGUAUUUCACAUUUGACCAUGAAGUUAACAACAGCAAAACAAUUUGGAAAUACUAAAGUCAUUUCCGACACUGGUCUCCGACACUGGUCUAGCGCUAAAAACCCCAAUGCGGUGGCCAAUUGAAACAACUCUAGUUUAGUAAAAACUCUUCGAUAUUUUCGAAAUUUUUUUCCAGACGUAGAUAUUUUUACCCUGGGAAACUCUUACUAUGAUUGAAAGCUUAUAAAAAUACCUAUCCAAAAAAAUGGUCACAUGACCUACUUACAACAACUGUUAAAUUUAGAAAACUUUUGUUCGGUUCGCCGGUUGAACAUACGCAGAAGAGAAUAUUUCUGGACCCAGAAAAGGUAUUACCACAAAUUGUAGCAUUUUGGAAAGGUAAGAGUGUCAGCUACAAUUUCGCAUCAUUGUUGUUGACCCACAUAAUGGGCCCUUUUUGACUUUUUGGGGGUUUUACAAAAACCCGGGUUUAAAAAAUCGAUAAUUUGAUUAAAACUUCCGAACCGCUUUAAAUAAGCAAGUGACCACUUGUUGGAUGGGUAUUUUCAUAAGCGAUACCUAUAUUGUAUAUAUUGAGUAAGUGGAUCCGGAUCUUAAACCCAUACUUUCGGGUCAAAAACCUGUGGUCUCGGGUCCGUCCCCAAAAAAAAGUUUUCCGGAGUCAGUGUGAAAAUACCUACCACUCAAAAAAAAUUGAAGAAUUUUUACUAAACUAGAUUUUAAUUUUAGGCCUAAGAAUAAAUGACCAGUGCCCCCGUUGCAACUUUGGCGAAAUUUCUUUUAGCACAUGCUAAGAGCAGUGCUUGUUAAUUCUGAAAUAAUUUAUAAAUCUAAAAGAAGACAUUAAGAAUUUAUUUUAAAUAAAUAUUUAAAUACAAACUUAAACAUUGGGAAUGCCGUUUAUACCAUGAUAUGGGAUAUUUCCCCAUAAGUUUUCUUUUUUAAACUUUUAUGACCAAAGAUUUUUUGAACCCGAGUGACGAUUGCAAGUUCAUACUUUGCAACAAGCAUUUUGAAAACACCCGAAUUUGAAUAUUUUCUGAACUUUUUUUAGUAUUGAAAAUAAUACACCCACAUUAACAAAUAAAGUUGACAAAGUAGGCCAAGAAAAUAAAAAUAAUAAAAUCAUAUGGUGUCAUAGCCUACCUUGAUUUUAUUGUACCAUGGGUGGUGCGAAAUAUUCGACCUAACAAAGGUAGGUUUUUAUUAGAAAAUAUAAGAGAUUGAUAGAACUCAUAUUUAAAAAAAAAAAUACUAAUUUUUAUUUUUUUUAAAAACUCAUUUUUAAAAUCCUGAUUUUCUAUGUACAAAAAUCGAUGCCUUCAUACAUUAUGUUUUAAUUCAUUAUAAAGAUUUUAGAAAUAAAUGAAAAACUAAUUUUUUAAAUCCUGAUUUUUAUGUACAAAAAUUCAUGGCCACAUACAAUUUGUUAUAAUUCACUCUCUAGAUUUUAGUUUUAGGGAUAUUUUUUUGACUUUAUUUUAAUGCAAAGUUUCCUUAUCACUUCCAUUUCUAUUUUAAGGUUUUCAUUUAAAUAAUAUCUUCCCCCAUUUUCCACAUCUUGGCUCUCAACGAACAAAUUCCUACCCCCCAAAACAAAAAUUGAAUUCAAAACCAAACACCUAUUGUUGUGCGUAUCAUCUUCCAAAUAAGCAAAAUUUACUGAACAAUUAUACCGUAGUCGAAAUAUUAACAGUGAAAGGCUUUAAAACGAUAACGAAUUGUAACUUAAAUUAGUUAAUAAAUAGUAGUCUCUCUUUUUUCUUAUAUAAAGAAAAUCUUAUUAACAAACAAAAUAAACCACAACAAGGUCUUAACAUUUGUAGUAGCUUUACAAAAUACAAAAAUUUACUCAAAAAGAAACAGCAAAUGUUUUCCAAAGUCUAAAUGAAAAAUGUAAACAUUAAUAAUCCAAAAAAAAAGAGUCAAUCAUCUUCCAAAUUGUUAAAAAAAGCAUUACACUCGUCACCGCCAUACACCUUCCACUUGCAGGGCAUUCAGAGGCAUUCGCAUACAUACAUUACAUUAAUGUUAACAUGGCAAUACAAAAAAAAAUCUUAAGCAAUAUCAUUUACACAAAAUACAUUCAUUGGGAUACUAUCGCAUCAGAGUGUUGUCGUUUUGAAGAUUUCCGAUUAAAAGUAAAGAGGACAAGAUAAUUUUUUGUUAUUUUAAAAUUUUAAUGUUUUAUAAAUUUUCAAAUAUAAUGAAAUCUAUAUAAGCUUACAAAGAGGGGUUAGGUAGGGGGGAUUGUUGUUAUUUGAAAAUUCUACACCCUAAAUGUGAAACCUUCCAUGUGGAAUGUUAUCAAUGUCGAUUAAUAUUUUCAUACCAAACUUAUAAAGUCCUAACUUUUUCCAAUCGAUUUGAAUGAAAUGUUCAUAUUGGGUUCUCUAUGAAUAGCAUUCGUUAAACUGACCCAGAUUUAGAUACUCCUCCGAUGUGAGUUUUUUUUUUUUUUUUCUUUUUUUUGAAGUGGAUACAUUCAACAACCGAUCUCUCUGGUAGUACGAAGGCGGGGAGGGGUCAGGUACGAAUAUUGAAUUUAUUGCCCGAUCCAGAUGAAAUUUUGCACAAAUUAUUUGACCCAAGGACAAACUCUAAAUUCAAAAUUUAGAUUUAGCUCCCACAUAUAUCUUCGUCCGACUUGCCUUUUAUUGUGCACGAAUCGUGUAAUACAGAAUUUUGCACAUUUAACCAAUUUAAGACUCAAAAUAAGUAUGAUCGGUUCAGAUAUAACUAUAGCUCCCAUAUAUAUUGUUCAUCCGAUUUGUUAUUUUUGUCCGCCGCAGCCGUAAUAUGUACUCUGUAACAACAAUAUUUGGGCAAAUAUAUCAAAUACAGGUCACAAAUACAUUCGCUAAAGUUUAUCGAGAUCGGCUCAGAUUUAGAAAUAACAUUAUCCGAUAUCAGGUUUAUUGUACACUAAAUGGCAAUUACGACUGAAUUCAUUCUAGAAAUCAGAAAUCAUAGCCAUAGCUUCCAAAUAUAUGUUUUAUCCGAUUUGGAGUUUUAAGUCCCUCACAAGCGUAAUAUAUUUUCCACAACAGAUAUCAGAUACAGCUCCGAAAUAAGUGCAUCAAAUUUUAUCAAGAUCGGUUCGGAUUUGGAUAUAGGUCCCAUAUAUAUCCUCAACCGAUUUCGGGUUAAUUGUGCACCAAAUGACCAAUAUCAGUCCAAAAGAUCUGAAUUUUGGUACAUCUGACCGAACUCAGUCUUGAAGCAAGUGCAUCAAAUUUGGUAAAAAUGGGUUCAGAUACAGCUAUAGCUUCCAUAUAUAUUUUUCAUCCGAUUUGGAUGAAUAAUAUCAGCCCAAAUGGAGUGAAUUUCCCGACGUGCAUUUCCAUUUUGUAGAACUCGGCACAUUUAGUGAAAAUCGAUUCAGAAUUUGAUAUGCCUCACAUAUAUUAGUUCCCACUGAAACCAAACAAUAACUGCUCUAAAGCCAAAUGUUGAUAGGUAGUAUGAUCUACUUCAAAUAAAUUCUUUUCUUACGGGAGCUCUACUAAAUAUGCAUAGUGGUGUGGGGUAUCAUAUAGUCGGCCCCACCCGACUUUUGACUUUUCCUUACUGGUUUUUUAUUGAUAUUGGAUAAUGAAAAUAUUGGCUUAAAAAUAUUAGCAUACUUUUAGGCGCUUCGAGAGAUUUGGCUAUUUUCUUUUUGGAACAUUUAUUGAAAUAGACAGAAACACCGAAGUGCGCACUUACCCUGCUAGCUCUUCGAUUGGGAGUGUAAAAUAAUUUUCUAGACCCUUUUUGAACGAGACAUAAAAUUUCAGAGAUGCAAUUCUGAAGCAAGAAUUUUAUUUUUGAUUUUUCUUACAGACUGAUUACACAUUUUGUAUAGUCAUAUGUAAAUUGACAUAUUUAUAGUUUCCAUUUCCAUAGCAUACUUUAUGGAGCUAUCAACAAUUUUUUAAAUGCUUAGAUUACUAAGAUUACAUUAAAUACACUUAAAUCUUAUUUAGUUUCUAGUAAAUGUAUAUUAAUUUAUACUUGAUUGUAAAGUGUUUAACAUUUCUGAGGAGCGCCUUGAAGUAUACUAUAAAAAGUUAGUUGUAAAAAAAGUCACUUUACAUAUGACUCCCACAUCAUGUCAUCGAGCCUUUAGUAUUUCUAGUUUGCAAUUGAAAGCUACUUUUUGGGGAAAAUUAUAUUUUCAACUCAAUUAAUCUAAUAAAAAAUGGCGAAGUGAAAAAUAACAUAUUUAUAUUCCAAGUCCUAAUUAAACAAUUUUAAAUUUCUCCAUCUCUAUGGAUAUUAUUUUUAAAACGACAGCACUGAACAUCACACACAUAAAAUACAUUCCCAACCAUACACACACACACACCCUUGAACACAUCCACAAAUACAAAUAAUAACACCAAACACAACAACAACAGAAGUUAAUGAAAUGCAAAAAAAACAAGAAAUUAUAAAUUUGAUCUUAUAUAAAAUACUGUGAUACUAAAUUUUACUAGUACUUCCAGCAUAGCUGCAUUUUAUCCAUUCUAAAAUAUUCUGAAAAAUGAAGAAAAUGCUAACAACCAGAAACAACAACAACAAUUAAUUAAUUUAAACAAUUACUUAGAAUGAAGAAAAAAUAAAUAAAUAAAAAAACGCUAGGAAUGAUUUAAGAUUUAAGAAGUGAACAACAGUAACAACAACAAAUCAAUAAUAUUAUAAUAAUGAAAAAAAAAAAAAAAUACAACAACAACAAAAAUGAUACAUUAAUCUAUAUAUUUAAAAUACAAAACAAAAAAGCAUAAUAAAUUUGCAAAACGUUUAAAAAGAUGAACAAAUCUUAGAUUAGUUUAGUUAUUAGAAAUUUUCAAAAACAAAAAAAAAGAAAAUAUUUAAGAAAAAAUUAAAUAUUAUAGAAAAGAGAUACAAAUUAUAUAAAUUACAAAUCAUUACACAAAAUAACUUCUAUCAUCCAAUAAAUUCCAUUUUUUUAAAUAUUUUUUUUUGUUACAAGGGAAGGCCAUUAAAGGUACUUCUAAGUCCUUUGAGCUUUACCUAUGUUGGCUGAGAAUAAAAUAUUUCAUGUUUCCGAAAUAUUUUUACACACUACAUUGAAAGAAGAGCCAGCUAUUUUUUAUGAUUCCUUUAAGACUUCUUUACUAUGACAAUACGAAUGAAAAUGCGAACGAAAAACACCUUUCCCAAUGGGUUUAUUGAAUUAUUAUUGAAAUUGGAUAUUUCGUUCGUAAGCGAAAUUUUACUUUUCACAAUCAAAUACCUUUCGGCAAGAUAGAAAAUAUUUUUUAUUAAGAAUAUUCAUGAGACGUGUUUUUUAAGGCUCCAUCAGACUAUGAUGGAUGGCUCUGCUCGGGCGCCAAUAUAAUAAAAAGUUUUCUCCUUGGGCUGGAGUCCCAAUUUAGCAAUGGUUCCUUGACUCGAAACCCGGAUAAGUACCCGAGUCACGGGACAAGGAAGCAAGGGGGUAGUUAUUCUCUUCUAUUCUAUUCUACUCAAGUUCUUAGAAUUCAGGAUGACGUAUGAAUUUUUAUGCCAGAGACCUUGAUAAAUGCUCAAACCGGACCUACGAGACCUACAUGAGACCUACAACGUACUUAAUAAGCGCACGAGCAAGAUAUACAAGGAUAAAAAGUUACCUUAAUGAAUACUUGAGCCAGAUCUACAAGGAUACGCAAGGCUCCGUCGGCGAGAGACCUUAAUAAGUACUCACUGAAAAUCUACAAGGGUGUGCAAAGCUACGACUACAAGAUACCUCAAUAAGUACUCUUGCAGGAUUCACAAGGAUAUUCAAGGCUACGGUUGCAAGAGAUAUUAAUUGGUACUCAAGCUAGAUCUACAAGGACAUGCCAAGCAUUUGCUUUUGCGAGAGACCUUAAUAGGUGUUUAAGCAGAAUCUGCAAAUACAUGCCAGGCUACUUCUGCGUGAGAUCUUAAGAAGUACUAAAACAGGAUCUACAAGGAUAUGCUAAGCUUCGUUUGCGAGAGACCUUAAAAAGUGUUUAAUCAGAAUCUGGAAAUAUAUGCAAGACUACCUAAGCGUGAGACCUUAAUAAGUACUCAAGCACGAUCUACAAGGAUUCUAAGGAUACUACAGGAAUUCAAGGAUUCAGGACUUGGAGACUUGUAUGAGCAUGCUACGAAAAUGGCAUUGAACGGGCCGUGGUACUUCGAUACAGACUUUGUUGAAAAUUGAUCGAUGACCUUCGAUUGUAGGCGUUGCCUCAUUAAAAUGGCUUCCCAGCACAGAUUUCCACGGGCGGCGAUUUCAUAGCAUGGUCUAAAAUCAGCACUCUCGGAGUACUCAGAAAAAACUCCUUGUGUGGAUUUUCCGCAAAUUUUAUUGAAAAAUAUUACUAAAAUCAUUAAAGUACCGAAUAUCAGGGGGUACCGUUAUAUGGGGGCUAUACGAUUAUAUGGGGGGCUAUACCAAUAUAGCCCAUCUUCGAACUUGACCUGCCUGCUGACAAAAGACAGAUCUGUGCAAAGUUUUAGCUUCCUAUCUUAAUUCGUUUUGACUGCAGCGUGAUUACAACAGACGGACAGGGCUAAAUCUUCUUAGAAUUUUACGCUGAUCGAGAAUAUACUUAUAUACUUUGUUGAGUCUAAAAUUAUUAUUUCGAAGAGUUACAAACGGAAUGACGAACUUAAUAUACCCUCUUUACUAUGUAUGGUGAAGGGUAUAAAAAUUGAUCAGUGCACAGAUUUGCUAAUUUUCACUCGGGGCAAAAUUUACUCGCGAUCAGGAUUGCUCGAAAAGUGGGAGUUUUUACGGAGCCUACUCUUGUACUGUUUUGUGUGGCAGUAAUUCUCAUGUUUGAAUCGCACAAAAUAGAGCAAGCGUUUGCUCUGACAGUGUAAAUGAGUUGAAAAAAAUAUUUUGUUUUCCGAUUUCUGUGUGCGUGUGUAAUAGCAAACGGGUUUUGGUAUUGGUGUUUACUGUAGAAGAGAUUGCUCUUCUCAAAAACGAGGAAAAUAUGCUCACUCAUAUUCGAAAGAUAUGGAAAAAUUGAGUACGCUCAUCAUCUUUUUUUCUGCUCUCAGGAGUGCUCCCGCUCGAAUUCGAUUGAGUUUCACUCUUUGCACAAGUUCGAUUGUGUUUUUCGGAGGUCUGAUAAAAAUAGCCUCUUCAAUUCGAAAUAAAUUAUUUAAUCUUCUUAUUUAUCUUUGAAAAAUGUACUGUCCCGAACAAAUUUCUUAAUUUUCAAAUCUGAUUUUAUUAAAAAAAAUUAAUUAAUAAAUAAUAUUAAUAAUAAAUUAAUUAUAUUCAACCAACAUACUUCCCUUUUUUUUAAAAAAAAAGAACAAGAAUUCAAUAUUUCAUAAUACAAAAGAAAACAAAUAAUUUUGUUUGGGUUUCUUUUAGAAAAAAUACAAAGCAAUAUAUUUCUCUUUUUUGAAAACGAAAUAAUUUAAAAUAAUAUUUAUAAGUAAAAUAAAUAAAAAAAUAAAACAAAUCAAUAAUACACAUGCAUACACACAAAUCUCACAUUUAAAAAAAUAAUAUUCAAAAUAAAAAUAAAUAAAAUUGCAAUAAAUAUAAAACUGCUUUUGCAAAAUAAUAUUCACAAUCACUUAAAUAACUAAACCAAACAUAAACACAGUCAAUGAAAGCUACAACGCAAACAAACAAAAAAUAUAAAUAAAUAUAUUAACAGAAAAAAACAAAUAUCAAAGAGAAUGGAGGUAACCAAACACAAGAGACACAGGAAGAAACAAGGAAUCUCAAAUACAGAAAAUUUCACUCAAAAUAAGUUCAAAACAAUUUCCUUAGACUUAGACAAAAAGGGUUUAUACAAUAUUAAAAAAAAAAAAUAAAUAAAUAAAUAAAUAAUAACGAAGCUCACACAAACACAGGAGAGUUAUAUAAACUUCUUAAAGGUGACUUAUUUCCUUCUUUAAAAAAAAAAAACUACAAAUCUUAACCUUUUUCUAUGAAGUCCCCAAAAAAACAAAUUAAAUUCAGAUUGAAAAAAAAAAAA